rnacentral:tRNA from 1 species
GUACGCAUACCGAAGUGGUUAACGGCUUAGACUGCAAAUCUAUUGUUCGUGAGUUCAAAUCUCACUGUGUACU